rnacentral:rRNA from 1 species
GAUGAACGCUAGCUACAGGCUUAACACAUGCAAGUCGAGGGGUAACGAGAGGAAAGCUUGCUUUCCUUGUCGACGACCGGCGCACGGGUGAGUAACGCGUAUCCAACCUGCCCCCAACUAGGGAAUAACCUUGCGAAAGUAAGACUAAUACCCUAUAAUUUCCUCAGAUGUCAUCUGACGAGGAAUAAAGAUUUAUCGGUUGUGGAUGGGGAUGCGUCUGAUUAGCUUGUUGGCGGGGUAACGGCCCACCAAGGCAACGAUCAGUAGGGGUUCUGAGAGGAAGGUCCCCCGCAUUGGAACUGAGACACGGUCCAAACUACUACGGGAGGCAGCAGUGAGGAAUAUUGGUCAAUGGGCGGAAGCCUGAACCAGCCAAGUAGCGUGCAGGAUGACGGCCCUAUGGGUUGUAAACUGCUUUUAUACAGGAAUAAAGUUAGCCACGUGUGGUUAUUUGUAGGUACUGUAUGAAUAAGGACCGGCUAAUUCCGUGCCAGCAGCCGCUGUAA